UACGUAGGCAGCGAGCGUUGUUCGGAGUUACUGGGCGUAAAGGGCUCGUAGGCGGCCAACUAAGUCGGAUGUGAAAUCCCCAGGCUUAACCUGGGAACUGCAUCCGAUACUGGAUGGCUUGAAUUCGGGAGAGGGAUGCAGAAUUCCAGGUGUAGCGGUGAAAUGCGUAGAUAUCUGGAGGAAUACCGGUGGCGAAGGCGGCAUCCUGGACCGACAUUGACGCUGAGGAGCGAAAGCUAGGGGAGCAAACGGG
rnacentral:rRNA from 1 species